rnacentral:rRNA from 1 species
AAGCUCGUAGUUGAAUUUCGGGAUUAAUUUAUUGGUCGUGCAAUCGUACGUACUGGUAUUAUUGAUUCCUACCUUCUGACGAACCAUGAUGUCAUUAAUUUGGUGUCGUGGGGAAUCAGGACUGUUACUUUGAAAAAAUUAGAGUGUUUAAAGCAGGCUCACGCUUGAAUACAUUAGCAUGGAAUAACGAAAUAGGACGUUUGAUUCUAUUUUGUUGGUUUCUAGGAUCGACGUAAUGAUUAAUAGGGAUAGUUGGG